rnacentral:rRNA from 1 species
CCACCACUAAGCCAGUGGUGAACUCCACAUCCGCAUCCUUUGCUGAGGAUACGGUUAACGGAGCGAAAGCGACGUUCAACCGCAAAACAAGCAGAGGGGGCUUAGUGGUGGGGUGACUGCGUACCUUUUGUAUAAUGGGUCAGCGACUUAUAUUCUGUAGCAAGGUUAACCGAAUAGGGGAGCCGGAGGGAAACCGAGUCUUAAUUGGGCGUUAAGUUGCAGGGUAUAGACCCGAAACCCGGUGAUCUAGCCAUGGGCAGGUUGAAGGUUGGGUAACACUAACUGGAGGACCGAACCGACUAAUGUUGAAAAAUUAGCGGAUGACCUGUGGCUGGGGGUGAAAGGCCAAUCAAACCGGGAGAUAGCUGGUUCUCCCCGAAAGCUAUUUAGGUAGCGCCUCGUGAAUUCAUCUCCGGGGGUAGAGCACUGUUUCGGCUAGGGGGCCAUCCCGGCUUACCAACCCGAUGCAAACUGCGAAUACCGGAGAAUGUUAUCACGGGAGACACACGGCGGGUGCUAACGUCCGUCGUGAAGAGGGAAACAACCCAGACCGCCAGCUAAGGUCCCAAAGUCAUGGUUAAGUGGGAAACGAUGUGGGAAGGCCCAGACAGCCAGGAUGUUGGCUUAGAAGCAGCCAUCAUUUAAAGAAAGCGUAAUAGCUCACUGGUCGAGUCGGCCUGCGCGGAAGAUGUAACGGGGCUAAACCAUGCACCGAAGCUGCGGCAGCGAACGUAUCACCCAAGACAACUUUACGGAGUUGACGAUUGACGGAGCGAAGCGACGUCAAAGCGUUCAUUAAAGUCGAGUUGGCUUAGGGAUACGUUCGUUGGGUAGGGGAGCGUUCUGUAAGCCUGUGAAGGUGUGUCGUGAGGCAUGCUGGAGGUAUCAGAAGUGCGAAUGCUGACAUAAGUAACGAUAAAGCGGGUGAAAAGCCCGCUCGCCGGAAGACCAAGGGUUCCUGUCCAACGUUAAUCGGGGCAGGGUGAGUCGACCCCUAAGGCGAGGCCGAAAGGCGUAGUCGAUGGGAAACGGGUUAAUAUUCCCGUACUUGGUGUUACUGCGAAGGGGGGACGGAGAAGGCUAUGUUGGCCGGGCGACGGUUGUCCCGGUUUAAGCGUGUAGGUGUGUGUUCCAGGUAAAUCCGGUUCACUUUAACACUGAGGCGUGACGACGAGGCACUACGGUGCUGAAGCAACAAAUGCCCUGCUUCCAGGAAAAGCCUCUAAGCAUCAGGUAACACGAAAUCGUACCCCAAACCGACACAGGUGGUCAGGUAGAGAAUACCAAGGCGCUUGAGAGAACUCGGGUGAAGGAACUAGGCAAAAUGGUGCCGUAACUUCGGGAGAAGGCACGCUGACACGUAGGUGAAGUGAUUUACUCA